UCUGGGGACAGAGGAAAAACACAAACCAAUAUCGCGCAGAGUCAAGUUAGCCCCUGGGGGAUUCAUUCAGAAUAUUAACUGGGAGGAACGGCAGGAAGGGAUACAAAAGGAACGAUUAAAUCACCAGAAGGGCAUCUAGUGGGAAAAUCCAUAGUACACAGCAACAGCACAGCAUUUCCGUCACAAGUCAGCAAGCACAGAAUAACACAGGAAGAGUGCAGAGUGAAGAAACAGCGGGAAGGCUAAUCUUGAAAGGCGUCAGGAGGAGGUCAGGCGCACAGACUGUGGCGGGUAAGAGGGCAGGCGUGCCUCUCCAGAGCUGGAAUCUGGAUUAUUGUGAAUUGAGCAAAAACCAACAGGCUUCCUGCUGCACAUAGCUCAAAUGCGUGGGGUGCUACGACCUGGGUUACUGGUGAAAAGCUACCAUUUAAGAGGAAGGAGAGGAGGAGGAACAGAGCUGAUUUAGUAGGUUCGAGGGAGACAAGAUGGCAGAGUCGAAGGACUCAGGCUCACCUCCUCUCGCGAAAACACCAAAAUUACAACUAAUGACUGAACAACCAUCAACAAAAUAGACUGGAAGCUACCAACAAAGACGUCCUACAGCCAAAGACAAAGGCACACUGAGAUGGCAGGAGGGGCGCCUUCGUGAUAUAAGCAAUACUAUACCCACCAGGUGGGCAACCCAUAGCCUGGGAAGUAACUAUAUUGCAGAGACUAUCCCACGAACGUGAGAGUUCUGAACCCCACAUGAGGUUCCCCAGCCUGGGAGGUCUGGCAUUGGAAGGAGGAGGGGUCCCCUGGAGCUUCUAGCAUCGAAAGCCAGCGAGGCUUGUAUACAAGAGCUCCACAGGUCUGAAGGAAACAGAGACUCCAUUCCUGGAUGGUGCACAAAGAGUUUCAAGUACACUGGAUCCAGGGCAAAGCAGGGGACUCCAUAAAAAUCUAUCCAUCUUGGAAGGCUUCCUGGGAAAGCAGGAAGCAGCUGUGGCUCAAUGUGGGGGCCGAACAUUGGAGGUGGUGGUCCCAGGGAGUAAUCAUUGGCAUGAGCUCCCCUGGAGGCUGCUACUUUGGAAAAAUCUGGCCCCACCCAUGAGAAGCUCCAGGUCAAACAACCAACAGGGUGAGAAUACGGCUCCAUCCAUCAGCAAACAGGCUGCCUAUAAAUCCUCCUAGACACACAGCCACUUCUCAUCACACCCAGAGACAGCCCCAACCACCAGAGGGAGAAGACUCAGGUCCACCAGUGGACAGGGGCAGGUACCAGUCUCUCCCAUCAUGAAGCCUGCAACAAGCCCUUGUAUCAUUAACCCACCAGGGAGCAGACACCAGAAGCAGGAGAGGCUACAACCUUUAACCUGCCAAAAGGAGACACUCAAAAAGGUAUACAAAGUGAAAAGGCAGAGAAAUAUGAGCCAGAUGAAGGAACAAGACAAAAUCCCGUAAGAACAGCUAAAUGAAUUGGAGAUAAGCAACCUACAUGAAAAAGACUUUAGAAUAAUGAUAGCAAAGAGGAUCUAAGAUCUCAGGAAAAAAGCUGGAGGCAGGAGUUCCCAUCGUGGCUCAGUGGUUAGUGAAUCCGACUAGGAACCAUGAGGUUUCGGGUUCAAUCCAUGGCCUCGCUCAGUGGGUUAA